rnacentral:lncRNA from 1 species
GUGGGGACGUCGCGAGAGCGCCGGAGACUCCACUGCCGUAACAAUAAUGUGGGCAAAUUAAAAGCCACGAUUUAUCGGCGACAUCAAGAGCCGAUGUCUCGAUUUAAAUAAAUAGCUUAACCGAGAUGGUGAGUCCUCGCAAUUCUUCGUGCAUAUUUUUGCACCAACUUUGUGAUAACCUCGAGGUCCUUGUUUUCAGCAACAUCACUGAAAUCCCAUCGCCUAAGGUCCAGUGGGUGGGUUUAGGUUUCAUCCGAGCGAUGCCCAACUAUCCCGGAUGAACCUAUGGGGUUUUUUGUUUCCUUUAAGUUUUUAACGUUUUAAAGUUUUAACGUUUUUGCAAGUUUUAAUCUAAGAAGAAGUUUAUGAUUGGAUCAGACUAUUUCAACAAAUUUUGUGAAUGAGGAUUCCUACUGUUUUCUUCUGCAUUUGAGAGCUAUUUCAAGCUUCAUUUCGGCGGAGCUUGCCUUGGUUGUUUGCACGUCGAAGCUUUCCUUUGUGCGGCGCGCAUGUGGAUGUGCCGCGCCUCACCUUUUGUCAACACUCCGGAUAAGGCCCGGUGAAGGACUGCGAGGUUGACCGGUGGACGUGCAGCCCGCCAGCUGCGUAACAGUUGGCCCGCUGCGCCGCCAUCGUCCAGCACGCCCUGGCCUGAGCCGGCCUCAACUCAUCACCUGUACGGUAUUCCGGAACGCCUCAGGUAGGCCUGAUAGUCGGAGGUCCUCGAGUAAGUGAGGUGCCUACAGGUGUACGGACAGUGUUUUUAAACAUAGUGAUAUCCCAUGGUUGUUACGGAGUGACAAUUAACCUGACGGACCAAAGCGCGACCUGUCUCCCUCCAUAGGGUUUUUGACCUACCUAUGGUUAAUGAAAUUUGUAGAUUUAAAAAUAUACAUUGUACAAAUUCAA